rnacentral:misc_RNA from 1 species
GAUGAAGAACGUAGCGAAAUGCGAUAAGUGAUGUGAAUUGCAGAAUUCAGUGAAUCAUCGAAUCUUUGAACGCACCUUGCGCCCGCCAGUAUUCUGGCGGGCAUGCCUGUUCGAGCGUCAUUUCAACCAUCAAGCCCCGGGCCUGUGUUGGGGAUCUGCGGCUGCCCGCAGGCCCUGAAAACCAGUGGCGGGCUCGCUGUCACUCCGAGCGUAGUAGCACUCGUAUCUCGCUCAGGGCGUGCCGCGGGCUCCGGCAGUUAAACCGCCUCUUUAGCACCCAAAGGUUGACCUCGGAUCAGGUAGGAGGACCCGCUGAACUUAAGCAUAUCAAUAAGCGGAGGA